UAGGGAAUCUUCCGCAAUGGGCGAAAGCCUGACGGAGCAACGCCGCGUGAGUGAUGAAGGUCUUCGGAUCGUAAAACUCUGUUAUUAGGGAAGAACAAAUGUGUAAGUAACUAUGCACGUCUUGACGGUACCUAAUCAGAAAGCCACGGCUAACUACGUGCCAGCAGCCGCGGUAAUACGUAGGUGGCAAGCGUUAUCCGGAAUUAUUGUGCGUAAAGAGCGCGUAGGCGGUUUUUUAAGUCUGAUGUGAAAGCCCACGGCACAACCGUGGAGGGUCAUUGGAAACUGGAAAACUUGAGUGCAGAAGAGGAAAGUGGAAUUCCAUGUGUAGCGGUAAAAUGCGCAGAGAUAUGGAGGAACACCAGUGGCGAAGGCGAAUUUCUGGUCUGUAACUGACGCUGAUGUGCGAAAGCGUGGGGAUCAAACAGG
rnacentral:rRNA from 1 species